rnacentral:lncRNA from 1 species
GAAGGGGAGGAAUGUCUAGCCUCACGUCUGAGAAGCAAAAAAGCUCUGUCUGGGCUUCCUGAGAGCAUUUCCUAGUGGCAUCAGGUAAAGGCCAGGGGGAUAUUCAACUUGACAAGUGCCUUGCGUUUGGUUGCUCAUCUGUGAAAUGGGACAACAAGGCUACCUCAUGUGACGGCUUUUUGUGGGUGCGGAGGGCUCUGACACCUGGAUAGGCCUUGGGGCCAAGUGGACACAGAGCUGCUGCUCACACACAGGUCGCUGCUCCUCCCUGCCCUCUCUCCACAUUGCAGCCCCCACCGUGAUGCGGAGACGGUAAGGGAGGGGGUCUGGUUUUCGCAGAAAACAACUGAGAAACACCUUUGGGGGCGGGGGGGUGGGGGGGUGGCUCGUGCCUGAGCCCUAGGAUGCUGGGCUUUCUUGCCUCAUUCCUUUCCCAGCCCCUUCCCACAGAAACAACCAUGCUCCAGAGCUAGUUUUUCUGUUGAAGAUAACGAGAGAAGCAAUCUUAAGCAAACAUUAGCAGGAGUCCUUUAACCCAGAAGGACUGAGCUGAGUUGCUGGAGUUUCCUGGUUGAGCAGCAGCAGGAGCUCCCCAGGCCCUUUCAGAGGCUGUGUCUCAUCUGGUGUUGAUAACCCAGCCUUCAGGGACACAGCCACUGUCCCUGCCCACCCGCUGCCCCAGGGGAGCCUCUGGGACACUGAGCUGUUAAAACCCGGCUAUUCCUCCACCUCCUCCGGACUCAGGGUCUCCUGGUCCAGAGGUUGCCUCAUUAUAAGGUCCUUUACACCCCUGGCCAGUUACUCUGAACCUGACUUGCAUGUCAGUCACCAGGAGCUUGGUCAAAAUAUGGCUUCCUGGGGAGUUCUAAUUCAAAUUUAUUUUAGAAUAGUGUUCUUCAGAUUCUUUUCUUUUUUUUUCUUUUUUUUUUGUCUUUUUGCCUUUUCUAGGGCCACACCUGCGGCAUAUGGAGGUUCCCAGGCUAGGGGUCCAAUCGGAGCUAUAGCUGCUGGCCAGAGCCAGUGCCACAGCAACAUGGGAUCCAAGCUGCAUCUGCAACAUACACCACAGCUCACGGCAACACCGGAUCCUUAACCAACUGAGCAAGGCCAGGGAUCGAACCUGCAACCUCAUGGUUCCUAGUCAGAUUCGUUAGCCACUGAGCCAUGAUGGGAACUCCUGUUUUUCAGAUUCUAUCAAAAAAUUUUACUGGGUUGCCAACAGGGUUUUUAAAAAAAUUUUUUUGGAAAAAAACCAUUAAAUAUCCAAGUGCACUGCAGAGUGGGCCUGUUUUCUCCUGAAACUUUUGUGAUUACUUACCAGAAAACGUUGAUGCUACACCUCUAGAAAGAAAAACCACAGUAGUUAACUUCCCAGUGCCUACUUAGUUUUUUUGUUCUUAUUUUUUUUUUUCAAGUAAAAAUAAGAAUCUGUACUGAUUUUUCACUUUUAAAGGAUGAGCUAUAGGUUGUGCUUUUCUGUAUCGGCAUGACACUUACUAAAUACUUUUGUGCCAUGAGUGCAAUUUGAGGUGUUUUGCAAAAACCAGACCAAAUCAAAACAACAUAGCUAUUUCAAAUAACAGAGCAAGACAUUGAUAAUUUAAAAUAAUCAUGAAUCUCACAGGCUCUAAAUGCCAAAGGGCUUGGGCAGGUGGGCAACCAGAGAUGACACUGCAAAUGGUUUCACUUCCCAAGGCCCAAAGCCUUUUAAAAACUAGAGGCAGGGCCAGUAUUUGUUACAUUUUCCAAAAAGCUUAAGCUCCCUUUUAGGUUUUUAUUUUGUUUGUUUGUUUGUUUUUGUCUUUUUAGGGCCAAACCUGUGGCAUGUGGAAGUUCCCAGGCUAGGGGUCAAAUCGAAGCUACAGCUGCUGGCCUAUACCACAGCCACAGUAAUGCAGGAUCUGAACCACGUCUGUGAUCUACGGCACAGCUCAUGGCAACACCAGAUCCUUAAACCACUGAGCAAGGUCAGGGAUCGAACUCGCAUCCUUAAGGAUGCUAGUCAAGUGCGUUACCGCUGAGCCACAAUGGGCACUCCCUCCUUUUAGGUUUUUAACAAGGUCAAGCUCCUCACUAGACAGAAGCAAACCACAAAUUUAAUUACUGAAAACAGAAAUACCUUGCUUUUUGCUGAUAGAGUUUUAAUACCUAAUUAUGCCUUUUAAACUACUUACGACUAAAAUAAAAAAGAAUAUAAUUUCGAGUAAAACAUCAAAAUAAAGUGAAGAGCAGCGGUCUGCUUAAGUCUGCCUUGAGGCAGAGCUGAUGGUGGAAGAAGGCCUGAGGAAGCGACUCCAGGGAAUCACUUAAUUACUAUUCCUUGGCUGCAAAUCAGGGUUAGAAGGUGGUCUCACCCAUUUUUGGGGAGCUAUUGCAUUGUAGCUGUGACUUCAUCUUAUUCAAAAUGCAUUUUACUCAUCUCUACCUCACUCCAUACAGAAAAACUAAUUUGACAUCAUAAACCCUAGUACCAGAGAGUACCAUCUAGAAGAAAACCGAUCUUUGGGAAGUAAGGGUUGGCACAGAUUUUAUUGCGAUGACCAAAAGGACUAGACUUAAAAGAAAAAGAGAGAAAUUGGAUUGCAUCAAAAAACUAAAUCUGCUCAAGAGACACCGUUAAGAACUGACAAGGAAAACCACAGAGAACACUUCACAAUCACUACAAAGUCUAAGUACAAAAGCAUCGGCACGCCCAGUGUGCACAAGAUUUAGAGCCACUGGGUUCGGAUACAUUGCUUGUGAGAAUGUGAAACGGUACCAACCGUUUGGAAAGCCUUUUGACCAUCUACACAAGAAAGUUCAUGUCUUCAUCACACUUAAAAUAAAAAAGAGAAGCAAUGGAAAUGUCCAUUAAAGUUCCAUUAAAUGUCCGUUAAACGAAUCAAAAAUACUGUAUGUUUAAGCAAUGAAUACUAAUUUGAUCAGCAAAGGAAUUUUUGCAAAACCUUGGGUGAAUGCGAAAAACAUAACGCUAUCCCAAAGAAUUCAGACUCUAAACUGUACGAUUCAGUUAGGAAAUAUAUAAAGUCCUAAGACAAGCAACAUUCAUCUGUAGUGCUAAAAACUGGAUCCGUGGUCAGAGAAGGGACCGACUGCAGCGGAGCAGCCGGGCACCGUCCAGAGUGAUAAAGAUGCUUAACACCUUGACUGCAGCUGCGAUUCCACACUUAUAUUUAUCAAAAUGCAUGUACGUUUUCUGUACAUUUUAUUAUACAUCCGUAUCAAGAAAGACGAUUUGAAAAAAAGAGAGCAAAUGAUUGCUAUGUGGAACAAAUCUCAAAUACUAUGCUGCCUGGAAAGAACCCAGACAUAAAGAGCACGUCCUGAAUGAGCCCACUCCUAACUGAAAUCAGAACAGUGGUCACCUCUGAGCAGGGAGUGGUUGGGAGUGGUCUGUAAAAGGGCAGGAGGGAACUUUCUGGGGGGGGUGGUGAUGAAAUAUCCAGUGUCUUGAUAAGAUACAGUUAUAGGGGUGUAUACAAUAGGAACACUCAAACUUAAAGUCUAGAUUUUAUCAUGCAUGUACAUUAUUCCUUAAUGAAAAGAACUGCAUUGCCCCUUCCCCAUCAAAGCAUUUUACCAUGUAGGACUCCUUGAAGCCCUGGUCCUUUCCUAUUGGUGCAACCACUAAGGUCUUCCCCAAAUUCUACAGUGUACUGGGGGCAAGACCUCAAUCUAAACUGAAACUAGAAUAGCAUCUUUAAAUUGGGUCUGUCCUAGAAUAUCAGAAUGGAAACAGUGCCCAUACAUCAAAUCUGGGACAGGCCGAUAAACUUUCUAAGUCUGGCCACCUGUUAACAUCCUUCAAAAUCAUACAAACAGAAUCAGUUACCUGUUCCCUCUGGGUCCCGAACUUAUUUCUUCCUUGAACCAAGUCCAGUUUCCUGCCUUCGGAUCCCACGUCUGUUCCUUCCUGCUGCCAGACGCUGCGAGUCCCUGUCACAAUGCCCCUUUUGCUCUUUGGAGUCUCCAGACCUCCUCCUUCAGAAGUGAGCUGUCAAGAAUAACGGCUUUAUAUGCACCAAACCUCACCUCCUUCUGAUGGCUUCAUACACCAGAACCCACCCUCUUCCGCAGCCACCCGCUUCGGAAUGCCAUUGCAUAAAACAAUGGCAGUGUUUUAUAAGACUGAGUGAGAUUCAGUUCUUUCUAAAACACAGAUGAUUAGGGAGGUAGACAUAUCAAAAACACUUCCCUCUAAGUGUUAUAAAAUCAUCUAAUUUAGUUUCUCCAGAAUUCUGUAUUCUGUGACUUAGAAGCUUAGAAAACUAUGGAGUAGCCUUACCACCUAUCACCCACUCAUAAUCCUUUAUGUAUCCCCAAUCCAUCCUCUCCCCCCUCAACAAAAGACAAAAGCAAAACCAAAAGCAAAACGAAAACCAUGGAAUUGGAACAGGCAUGGACCUGGGACCCUUUGCUGCAGUGGCUGCAGUGCUUGCAUCUGGACAAACUUCUGGAGCAACCAGAUGCAAAGAAACUCUAAGGGACUAAAAAUAACUGAGUGCACUGGCCCAGCUGGGGCAAAUUAUGGGCAAGGAGAUACAAAAAAAACCAAACUCCACUGCCACUUAUGAAGAGCAGAGGGCAAAAGCAGGGUACUAAGCAUGCCCCCUGCAUACACCACCACCAAAG